ACCGCGGGCUCCGGACGGCGAGUUGGCGGUGGCUUCUCGCGCGCGGCCGCUUCGGCUCACCUGGGCGCCCGCUCCCAGCCCCGAAACUCGUCCCCCCGUAACUCCGCUCAGGGGCGGCGACCGUCCGGGCCCCGCCGUGUAGACCGGCCGGUCCCGGCGGGAGGCGCGGCCGCCCCAGCGCCCGGGGGUCGUUCCCUCGCCUCCUCCGGGCGGCGGGAAGGAAGAGGCGGCGGCGGCCGGAGUCGGGGCGGGCGGCCUGAGGUGAGAGCCCGGCCGGCCCCGCUGGGA
rnacentral:lncRNA from 1 species